rnacentral:rRNA from 1 species
CCUACGGGAGGCAGCAGUGGGGGAUAUUGCACAAUGGGGGGAACCCUGAUGCAGCGACGCCGCGUGGGUGAAGGAGCGUUUCGGCGCGUAAAGCCCUAUCGGCAGGGAAGAAGGAGGACGGUACCUGACUAAGAAGCCCCGGCUAAAUACGUGCCAGCAGCCGCGGUAAUACGGAGGGGGCAAGCGUUAUCCGGAUUUACGGGGUGUAAAGGGGGGGCAGGCGGCACGGCAAGCAAGGAGUGAAAGCCCGGGGCCCAACCCCGGGACUGCUCUUGGAUCUGAGGGGUUGGAGUGCAGGAGGGGCAGGCGGAAUUCGUGGUGUAGCGGUGAAAUGCGUAGAUAGCAGGAGGAACACCGGUGGCGAAGGCGGCCUGCUGGACUGCGACUGACGUUGAGGCCCGAGAGCGUGGGGAGCAAACAGGAUUAGAUACCCUUGUAGUC